CUUGGCGAAACUAAAAAUUACCCCCACGUUCAUCAGACAUGCUGUGAAUUGGAAACCCUAAUCCAAUUCGAAACCUGAAAAUCCCCCAAAUCCAUUGGCCACUGGAAGGAAUUCGUUGAACUUUUCUUCUUGAAGGCAAAAUCGUUUCUGUGGAAGUAAAUGAAAUUACCCAAAAUUGAAACCAACGAACCCCAAGGCGAACCUGGCGAUUUUGCCCCAAAAAAUUGAUCCGCAUCUACAUCGGCGGGUUCAUGGAUACACCGAUAGUUUACUGGGUUUCUUCCAUCUUUUUUCCAGUUUUUGGAGGAGGAUGAUUCUGUUACUUAUUUUAGAUAUUUUAAGAAAAAGCCCCUUUCUUGUCAAUGGAGGUGAUGAGGAGUGGAAGACGUGCUGUGGGAUGUAAGUUUGGAUUUGAUUCUGGUAAGAAGCCUGAUGCUGCAUUUGAGCUCCAUCAGCAACCGGGCACUCUAGUAUGAUUCACUCAAUGGAGUCAGCCAAAUAUUAGGCUGGGAUAUGGAAGUGGAUGACUUGGAAUAUCCGUGGGAGGAGCUGUUGUCUCAGUGUUCAUCAGAUGACGUGGAAGUUAACUUAGAAGAAAUGAUUAACGAAUUACAACAAAUGGAUGAGGCUGAAUCGUCGACCUGGAAGUGGCAAGGGCUAAAAGAAAAAUAGCUGCAAAGACGACAAGAGCUACGUUCGUUCGGUGUGACACUGAUAGUAUUGGCAUGUUUCUCUUUUGACGUAUAUCUCUGUUGAUGUUAAUGGCUAAUGGUUAAUUUGAGCA